rnacentral:rRNA from 1 species
AGCGAACGCUGGCGGCAGGCCUAACACAUGCAAGUCGAGCGGCCGUAGCAAUACGGCAGCGGCAGACGGGAGAGUAACACGUGGGAACGCGCCCUUCGGUUCGGGAUAACCCAGGGAAACUUGGGCUAAUACCGGAUACGCCCUUACGGGGGAAAGAUUUAUCGCUGAAAGAUGGUCUCGCGUCUGAUUAGCUAGUUGGUGAGGUAACGGCCCACCAAGGCGACGAUCAGUAGCCGGUCUGAGAGGAUGAACGGCCACAUUGGGACUGAGAUACGGCCCAGACUCCUACGGGAGGCAGCAGUGGGGAAUAUUGGGCAAUGGGGGAAACCCUGACCCAGCAACGCCGCGUGAAGGAAGAAGGCCUUCGGGUUGUAAACUUCUUUUAGCAGGGACGAAGGACGUGACGGUACCUGCAGAAAAAGCAACGGCUAACUACGUG